rnacentral:lncRNA from 1 species
CCUGGUUUCCAUUGCUGGAGGGCAGGUGCACGGUGGGGUCACAGGUCCAGGAACCACGUGGCUCCGAUGGGCCGCUGUGCCCUCAGGGACCUCUCUCCCUGCAUAGGCAUCACCGCCUGCGCUCUGCCCCCGGGGCCGCACCCGGGACCUGGACGCACUGCUGGCCGUGAUGGGGGCGGCCCGGGAGUUCAUCUACAUCUCGGUGAUGGAGUACUUCCCCACCACACGUUUCCGCCACCCUGCCAGGUGGGCCUGGGUGGGAGCGGGGAGGCCCGCUCCGCUGGGGGGCAGCUCCCAGCACAGUGCCUCUCCUGCCAGACCCCUGACCCUCCUCUCCCCCAGGUACUGGCCGGUGCUGGACACCGCCCUGCGGGGGGCGGCCUUCAGCUGGGGUGUGCACGUGCGUCUGCUGGUCAGCUGUUGGCUCAACACAGACCCCCGCAUGUUCCCUUUCCUGCGGUCCCUGCAGGCCCUCAGCAACCCCAAGGCGGGCGUCUCGGUGGAUGUGAAAGUCUUCAUCGUGCCCAUGAGGAAUCACAC